UUAAUUCCCGAUUCAUAAAUUGGAUUUCGAUUAUGUAACGGCAGAGCUGUGUGUGGAUGAUUUAGCAUAUCCAUUUUCUUUUCACUACCAUAUAUGGAUCUUUCAAUCGUAGGAUCCCUUUCAUUAUCUCGUCGUGUUCCGGUUAAUGGUAGUUUAUUCAUGUUCAAGUAAUUUAUUUCUCCUACCUUCUCUAUUCCAUAACAGAUCAGGAACCCUAGGAUGCCUUUACAAUCUCUCCUCAACAACAGAAGGUAUUUCGAAUCUAGAUUAAUUUCUGGCUACUACACACACAAAACAAAAAACCCUCAUCCUUCAUUAAUUUGAUUCUCUAUAUAAAAUGUCAAAUCUCAAUCGAGAGCAGCAUCAAUUCCACUUGAACAUUUGCUGCCCAACAGGUACAAUCCUUAGUUACAAAGGGCAAGUUGAAGAGUUUCUGAUCCCCUGACGAAGGAAAAUCAAGCGUUGUUACUGUUCGUUCGUGUUACUAGGAAAUGGGAAGAAUUGGACUUUAAGUCCACCAACGACGUCACCAGUGUCGAUAUGGUUAUUGUUGACGAGCAGUUAGUGAUCCCCCUGUUUCCGUAAAUUUACAGGGUACAGAUUCAAUUAUGUCUGACUAACACCUUCACUGCUACAAGGAGAUGAGUUAGAUGCCAUCAUACCCAAAAAUCUUUUCUGGAAAUUCGGUAAGCAGUUGAGAAAUUGCACUUGAUGUGGUGGGCACGGGUAUAAAAACCCCUGCACACCAUAUCACCUAUCCCAUUACAAACUCAUUGGUCUAGCUAUUAUCUCAAGGCUUGCAUUGUUUUUUUUCUCCAAGGAUUUCAUAAAUCCUAGUUUCGUCUAAAAUUGAAGAUUACCAUAAUGGCCACUCAAAUCAGUUCCAUUAGGAGAGCAGCCAAAAAAUCUUCUCAUACCUACAUACUGGACUCGGAAGAACAAACUCAUCUCUUCCAGACUUCGAGUUGACUGGGGAAAUAACUUCGAAAGAGACAAACAUCCCGGAUGUAUUGCCUGAUAUAUUUCAAUAUACCCAUCAAAAUCAGAAAAAGACUGUUAACGACUUGCUACAACAUAUUGGAAAACUAAAGGAUGGAAGCACAUUCCGGACAAAUAAAAGGUUUGCAGACAAUUGGUACCUUAUUGUCUCGCCGAAUUCCCGGAACUGGGCAUUAUAAACUCUUGAUGUUUCACAUGCAACAAAUCGUGCCAACCAACACCGAGGAUGAAACUUAUAAUGGAAGUAGAAGACUUGACUGGAUAUUCUAUGUUCAUGGCCGCGGGGACGGUGAAAGAAGAUUUAGUCCAAUGUAGCGCCUCUAUAAUGAUGGGCGUUCACAAGGUUCUUUCCCUAUGCCAUGUUUUUGAAGUCCUAUAUGUUGUUUCGUGUUACGUGUGGCGGAUGCAUACACUGUGGACGGUGAAACCAUGUUUCCAGUGUCGCUGUAACCAGGCCAAAUUGCUAGACAGUGCUAACUUAUGCUGAAAAGAUGGUUGCCGAUGUUAACGCUAAAAGUGAAACUAGGCAUACCAAUAUCAUCUGGAACUUGAUUGCAGAACUGUUUGAAAUAGAAUGGGAUCACAGUUACAAUCUUCGGACUGCAGUGGAGCCUCCCGUAAUAUACUCUGUCAAUGUUCUAGACUAAUUGUGCGAGCUCGACGAUGAUAAACAGAACAUAUUAUGUAUCCAAUCGACCGUUGCCCAGCUCAUGUUUGUGAAAAGGGACCCCACCCCGGCAGUGUUAUGGCUGAAACUGUCAAGCAAAGCACCAGCGUUGUAUUGCUCAACACAAUAGGACUUGCAUAGCAUAAAUAGUUACAAUGCCAUCCCGUUCAUGUGGAUUGAUUAAUAAGGUUCAUAGGGUGAUCGGCUUAAUUGGCAGAGUGGGUGUUGUUAUUUUCCUUCCCUGGGUCCAUAUUGCGGUAUGUAAGGGACGUCAAGCUAACUUUAGAUUUUGUUGGGACUUCAAGCUAACUUUAAAUUUUGUUGUGUUGCCUACGUAUAGUUGGGAAUGUAGAAAUCUUUGGUUCAUGGGUUAUGAUUACAUUUGUGAAACUGCGAUGCCAAACAUACUUUUGAAUAAUUUUACUUCAAUAAUUAUGUAUCUCAUUUUUCUGA